AUUGAACGCUGGCGGCAGGCCUAACACAUGCAAGUCGAGCGAGAAAGCCUUCGGGUGAGUACAGCGGCGGACGGGUGAGUAACGCGUAGGAAUCUACCUGGUAGUGGGGGACAACAUGGGGAAACCCAUGCUAAUACCGCAUACGCCCUAUGGGGGAAAGCGGGGGACCUUCGGGCCUCGCGCUAUCAGAUGAGCCUGCGUAGGAUUAGCUUGUUGGUGAGGUAAAGGCUCACCAAGGCGACGAUCCUUAGCUGGUCUGAGAGGAUGAUCAGCCACACUGGAACUGAGACACGGUCCAGACUCCUACGGGAGGCAGCAGUGGGGAAUAUUGCGCAAUGGGCGAAAGCCUGACGCAGCCAUGCCGCGUGUGUGAAGAAGGCCUCGGUUGUAAGUACGACUU
rnacentral:rRNA from 1 species